UGUAAAGAACACUGCAUUAGGAUAUGUUCACGCUUGGCGUCUUUUUGACAAGAAAAAGUCUAGACUAGAGUGCUUUUGUUAAAAAAAGAAGAACUACUGCUACAGUAUAUUAGAGCGCUAUGUGGAGCGGUGCUAAUGCUAGCGUUAGAUAAAACAGAGUGGUGAAGCGAGCUAGAGAAAGUACAGGGAGAGAGAGCGGUGCUAACGUUAGA